rnacentral:rRNA from 1 species
GCGUUUGACCUCAAAUCAGGUAGGAUNACCCGCUGAACU